GCAGCACGACUUGGCCCCGGGCGCAGGGAGCCGCGCUAUAAAAAACCGCUGGAAUUUACUGGCAGCUACAAAUAUUUGCUUAACUUGCGUCUGGAGUUGGGGGAUUUUCCGGGGAGUCCUGUCUUGGACUUUCUAAGGUGCUGUUAUUCGGGGCAACUAUCAAAUUCUACCUGUUAAAACAUGAUGGAUUAGAGGGGGGGAAAAAAAACCCUCCAGGAACCUGAAAAACCAGCGUUCAUCUCCAUGACCACAGCUUGAACUCUCCUUCCAACUUAACGAUAAUAGGUUCUGUCUUAGAAACUGCUAUGUAAUUUGAUGUAUGGGGGUCAUUUGGCUCUGGACGAGGGAUGGAAGCACAAGCCAUAAAAUCCUGCCAGAGUUUCCUGAUCUUUGUGUGCUGUUGUUGUUGUUGAUAUUUUGUUACUUGGCCUAUUUACCUGCUUCAGAAAUACCAAGUAAAG
rnacentral:lncRNA from 1 species